rnacentral:rRNA from 1 species
GCCUGGUUGAUCCUGCCAGUAGUAAGAUGCUUGUAUCAAAGAUGAAGCCAUGCAUGUGUAAGUAUGAAUUCAUUCUGAUUGUGAAACUGCGAAUGGCUCAUUAAAUCAGUUAUAGUUUCUUUGAUGGUAUGUCCCUACUCGGAUAACCGUAGUCAUUCUCGAGCUAAUAAGUGCAACAAAGCGGAGGGAUUAUUAGAAAAAAGGUUGAUGCGGGCUUUGCCCCAUGGUAACUCGACGGAUCGCACCGGCCCUCGUGCUGUCGAUGCAUCAUUCUUCUGCCCUAUCCACUUGCGAUGGUAGGAUAGUUGCCUACCAUGGUGGUGACGGGUAAGGGAGAAUUAGGGUUCGAUUCCGGAGAGGGAGCCGGGCAAGGAAGGCUGCGGGCGCGCAAAUUAGCCAAUCCAGAAUCGGGGACAAGAAAUCGGUCUCUUCGAGUGGAAUGAGUACAAUCGAAACCCCUUAACGAGGAUCCAUUGGAGGGCAAGUCUGGUGCCAGCAGCCGCGGUCAUUCCAGCUCAAAGUUCUUGUAGUUAAAAAGCUCUUGGACCGUCGGGUUGAGUCGAUCGGUCCGCGUGUGCAUCGGUCGUCCCUUCUGCCAAUGAUGCGUGCCUGGCCAUCAUAGCACGUCAGAAAGACAGAUAAAGAGAGAAAUGAAAGUAUGGAGCGAGUUAGCUGUCCUAGUCUCAACCGGGAUCGGCUGAUCUUGCUCUUAGGACUCAGCCGGACAAAUCCGGAAGUGCACGAGUGGAGCCUGCGGCUUCAUUUGACUCAAGACGGGGAAAGGGUCCAGACAUAGCAAGGAUUGAGAGACUGAUAGCUCUUUUUGAUUUUCGAUAACUGAGUGAAAUAUAUUAAGAACUCACAAGAGGUAUACAAUCUAAAGACAUUUGUAUGGAUCUUGAUGAACAUCCUAUCAAUCUGAGGUCAGGAGAGAACCCCUACUCCGAGAAUCAUUCCCUUCAAUUCAAUAAGGGAUCGAUCUGACCGUCAAAGGAGAGAAAGAACGAUAGUAGUAUGCCUCGAAAGGCAGAAAGUCUGCUCUAUCCAAAAAUUCAAACAAAAAUGAAAUAACAAAAUACUGCUUCUGGGUUUUUUAGGGAGCUCGUGACUCCGACCGACUUCCUAAUCGCUUCGAGUAUCCUUUGGCUCCUCAAAGCUUACGCUCUAUCUCUUCCAGACCCUCUUCGAGUAACUUACGAUGAAGAUUCGGUAAUAGUUUAGUUCACUCGCUGAGUCUAUUUGCAUCUAUGGUUAAAGUGCCA